rnacentral:tRNA from 1 species
ACUUAAAUAGCUUAUAAAGAGUUUAAUAUUGAAGAUAUUAAGGAAGUCGAAGACUUUUAAGUA